GUGGCGGACGGGUGAGUAACGCGUGGGUAACCUGCCUUGUACUGGGGGACAACAGUUGGAAACGACUGCUAAUACCGCAUAAGCGCACAGCUUCGCAUGAAGCAGUGUGAAAAACUCCGGUGGUAUGAGAUGGACCCGCGUCUGAUUAGCUAGUUGGUGGGGUAACGGCCUACCAAGGCGACGAUCAGUAGCCGGCCUGAGAGGGUGAACGGCCACAUUGGGACUGAGACACGGCCCAAACUCCUACGGGAGGCAGCAUG
rnacentral:rRNA from 1 species